AGGGACUGUUUACAGAGAUUCUGAUUCCUCAACACCAAUAACUCAUACCCGUACAAUUAACAGGCGCAUCCAGAGGAGAAACUAUUAUGAUUGACAGUUAUAAACAACCAAAGGUCCAUCCUUCUAGAGGAUUAAUAAGUUGCACUCCAUGAGGACUUUUGUUGGUGAUCCAGAAAUAUUUAUGCAACCUCGAGGCUUUUGGGGAACAAAUGAUUUUCCUUUGAUUUUCACAUAUAUCAAAGUAAUUUUGUUUUUUUUUAC
rnacentral:lncRNA from 1 species